GGUUGGAUAAUGGAUGGAUGGAUGUAUUAGGGCCUUCCAAGCCAAAUGAAUAGCCAUGGCUGUGGAAUUUCCAUGUUGAUGGUAUGACCAUUUCAUAUUGUAACUAUCAUUUUUUGUAUGUCUGUAUUUAAUGUUGUGUCCAGGUUUCCAAAGGACCAUUUUGUGGUGUCUCUGUAUUUCAUCCUCGAGGCCCCCUUCAAUUUUAAUGAGUUGUGUCUCAACUUUAGAUUAUAUCUGGUUGCUGGUUCCCAUUUUUGUCACCUUCUACAAUUUGUGUUGGAUAUUUGUGUUAUGUUUAACUUAUUUUAUUACAUUUGUUUUUUUUUUUUUAAUUUCAACAUACUGUCCAUAGUGGUUUUGAAGUUCCAGAAACGCCUACCUUUCAAAAUCCAGAUCAUUUAAAUGUAUGUUUAUAAUGGUUUGCAUAAAUAUUUUUGUAACAUUAAACUCCUUUUAACAACGUGA